AUGAACGCUGGCGGCGUGCCUAAUACAUGCAAGUCGAACGAAACUUCUUUAUCACCGAGUGCUUGCACUCACCGAUAAAGAGUUGAGUGGCGAACGGGUGAGUAACACGUGGGCAACCUGCCCAAAAGAGGGGGAUAACACUUGGAAACAGGUGCUAAUACCGCAUAACCAUAGUUACCGCAUGGUAACUAUGUAAAAGGUGGCUAUACUACCGCUUUUGGAUGGGCCCGCGGCGCAUUAGCUAGUUGGUAGGGUAAAGGCUUACCAAGGCAAUGAUGCGUAGCCGAAGUGAGAGGUUGAUCGGCCACAUUGGGACUGAGACACGGCCCAAACUCCUGCGGGAGGCAGCAGUAGGGAAUCUUCCACAAUGGGCGAAAGCCUGAUGGAGCAACGCCGCGUGGGUGAAGAAGGUCUUCGGAUCGUAAAACCCUGUUGUUAGAGAAGAAAGUGCGUGAGAGUAACUGUUCACGUUUCGACGGUAUCUAACCAGAAAGCCACGGCUAACUACG
rnacentral:rRNA from 1 species